UAAAAACCAAAGCUGAACAACCUGAACCACUGAGAGAGAGGGAGAAAGUUUGGGCUCAGUUUAGAGAGAGAGAGAGAGAGAGAGAGAGAGAGAGAGAGAUGAUCCAACCAGAAGUCCAUAAUCACCUCGGUAUCCUCUCUCCAGUGCUGGAGUUCCGCUGUCGUCUCACCGGCUGUUCACCGCUGCCAUGGAUAAAUGUCUACUGUCACUUCCUACAAAUUCAUCUGCUAAGGAAGGGAAUUCAAGGCCUAGGUUCCAUGAGUUUAACCAACACACUGGCAUGAUAUAGCUAAUAGAUGGACUCAAAUUUGUAUCACAUGUAGUCUUCAAGGAGGCACUAAAGGAGUGGUGCAUUAGAGAAAAUCAUGAUUAGGCAAUAAAUAAAUGGAGAGUAACAACUAGUUGUAAAAAAAUUCUAAUAAAAAAAAAGUGGUUGGAAGAUGGAUGCAUCCCGAACACAAAUGGGUGUUAUUUUUUGUAUAAUUAUUGAUUCAUUGGGUGUUUUUUUUUUUAAACAAUUUACCAUUUGUAAAUGCUCAUUGAUAUUUUAAUUCAUGGUAGUCGAGGAGAACAUUUUACUA